rnacentral:rRNA from 1 species
UGGGGAAUAUUGCACAAUGGGCGCAAGCCUGAUGCAGCCAUGCCGCGUGUAUGAAGAAGGCCUUCGGGUUGUAAAGUACUUUCAGCGAGGAGGAAGGCGGUAAGGUUAAUAACCUUAUCGAUUGACGUUACUCGCAGAAGAAGCACCGGCUAACUCCGUGCCAGCAGCCGCGGUAAUACGGAGGGUGCAAGCGUUAAUCGGAAUCACUGGGCGUAAAGCGCACGCAGGCGGUCUGUCAAGUCGGAUGUGAAAUCCCCGGGCUCAACCUGGGAACUGCAUUCGAAACUGGCAGGCUAGAGUCUUGUAGAGGGGGGUAGAAUUCCAGGUGUAGCGGUGAAAUGCGUAGAGAUCUGGAGGAAUACCGGUGGCGAAGGCGGCCCCCUGGACAAAGACUGACGCUCAGGUGCGAAAGCGUGGGGAGCAAACA